AGCUCAGUUGGUAAAGAAUCUGCCUGCAAUGCAGGAGACCCAGGUUCAAUUCCUGG
rfam:Ovis aries breed Texel chromosome 13, whole genome shotgun sequence.